UGGAAUGCUUUAGAUAUAUUUAUUUUCUCUAAUGGCCAGCAUUGUACUCCACCGAGGAAGUACCAUUUGCAAUCAGAUGAGCUAAAAAACUGGGAUUCGACAUUGAGAUGUUUGGCUCAUUCGCAAUAUGGAUCAUUACAUUCCUUGAUAGAACUAUACUCGGUCGAAGGUAAGAAAGUGGACGGACCUCUAGAGUUAAGUAAUGAUGCUGCAUAUGUAGCUGUCACUCCACCUGAUCCUUUUAUACAAGCUGGCUAUGACAAAUACCUUCUAAAAGCAUCAAGAUCUUGGGAGAAACGACAAGAAAAAAGAUUAGGAACUCUAAACCCUGCAGUCCAAG